rnacentral:rRNA from 1 species
GACGAACGCUGGCGGCGUGCUUAACACAUGCAAGUCGAACGGAAAGGCCCUGCUUUUGUGGGGUGCUCGAGUGGCGAACGGGUGAGUAACACGUGAGUAACCUGCCCUUGACUUUGGGAUAACUUCAGGAAACUGGGGCUAAUACCGGAUAGGAGCUCCUGCUGCAUGGUGGGGGUUGGAAGGUUCGGCGGUUGGGGGUGGACUCGCGGCUUAUCAGCUUGUUGGUGGGGUAGUGGCUUACCAAGGCUUUGACGGGUAGCCGGCCUGAGAGGGUGACCGGCCACAUUGGGACUGAGAUACGGCCCAGACUCCUACGGGAGGCAGCAGUGGGGAAUAUUGCACAAUGGGCGGAAGCCUGAUGCAGCAACGCCGCGUGCGGGAUGACGGCCUUCGGGUUGUAAACCGCUUUCGCCUGUGACGAAGCGUGAGUGACGGUAAUGGGUAAAGAAGCACCGGCUAACUACGUG